CAAGAAAGGAAAUCUCGAAGG
rnacentral:miRNA from 1 species